rnacentral:rRNA from 1 species
UCGAGCGGCGCACAGAGGAACUUGUUCCUUGGGUGGCGAGCGGCGGACCCCUUUAUAAUGCCUGGGAAAUUGCCCGGUAGAGGGGGAUAACCAUUGUAAACGAUGGCUAAUACCGCAUGACCUCGCAAGAGCAAAGCAGGGGACCUUCGGGCCUUGCGCUACCGGAUAUGCCCAGGUGGGAUUAGCUAGUUGGUGAGGUAAGGGCUCACCAAGGCGACGAUCCCUAGCUGGUCUGAGAGGAUGAUCAGCCACACUGGAACUGAGACACGGUCCAGACUCCUACGGGAGGCAGCAGUGGGGAAUAUUGCACAAUGGGCGCAAGCCUGAUGCAGCCAUGCCGCGUGUAUGAAGAAGGCCUUCUGGUUGUAAAGUACUUUCAGUACGGAGGAAGGUGGUUAAGUUAAUACCUUAAUCAUUUGACGUUACCUACAGAAGAAGCACCGGCUAACUCCGUGCCAGCAGCCGCGGUAAUACGGAGGGUGCAUGCGUUAAUCGGAAUUACUGGGCGUAAAGCGCAUGCAGGUGGUUUGUU